AGGGACUCAGGCUCCUGCCUCCUCCCGUCCCCCCCCACCCGCCAGGCCCUCCGCCUCCUCCCAGCCCAGGGCCCUCCCUGCGCCUCCCCAGCCAGGCCAGGCCCCAUUCUCCCUCCAGCCGCGGGCAGGUGGCCCAUCCCUCCCUUCCUCCCAGGAACAAAAUGGAAUAGGGAUGGUGCUGGCUGGUCCUGAAGAGAAUUCAGCCUUGUAUGGAUAUGUCAGCUGAAGUGCUAGGAAUCGGAAAGGUCUAUGUGCUACACACAUAAGAGAACAGAGCAGUACCUUCAAAAUACCCUCAGUGGCAAGGACCAGAGAAGAACAAAGGGAUAUGUGCACAGAGGAGGAAGAACAAGGUUGAUGCUGCAUGGAUAUUUUGUUGAUAGACUUCCCUGUGAGCUCAGAGCAAACUCCUGAAGACAAGAUCAAUUUCUCCACCCUUCUCCUGUCUAUCUCCAUAAGAUGGCCAGAAUUAUGUUUCUCAAACUCCUAUCUGAUCAUGUUAUUUUCUGGAACUUAAAAUCCUUCUGAGACUUUACUCUCAGGGUAAAGUCACAAUUAUUAACAUGCUCCUCAAGGCUUUUCAGGGUCUGGAACCCUGCUGACUUCUCCAGUCUCAUUUCUUGCCCUUUUAUCCUCUUGCAUUAUUGCCCUCUGUUCAGCCUGGUAGCCACUAGCCACAUGUGGCUAUUUACAUUUAAAUUAAUUAAAAUUAAGUUAAAUUAAAAUUGCAUUUCCUGAGUUACAUGAUACCACAUUUCAAGUGCUCAGCAACCAUAUGUGACUAGUGGCUAUCAUAUUGGACGCUACUGAUACAGAAUAUUUUUAUCAUCAUAGCAAGUUCUUUGGGCAGUGAGGCUCUAUACUCUCAAUACCUCAUGUAUGAUAUAUACUGUGGGAAUUUGCUCAGCUAAGCCCUUUGCUUGAAACGUUCUUCUUCCAUGGGGCGCCUGGGUGGCUCAGUUGCUUAAGCGACUGCCUUCGGCUCAGGUCAUGAUCCUGGAGUCCCAGGAUCAAGUCCCGGGAUCGAGUCCCGCAUCAAGUCCUGCAUCGAGUCCCGCAUCGGGCUCCGCAUCGGGCUCCCUGCUCGGCAGGGAGUCUGCUUCUCCCUCUGACCCUCCCCUUCUCAUGUGCUCUC